rnacentral:rRNA from 1 species
UACGAAGGGUGCAAGCGUUACUCGGAAUUACUGGGCGUAAAGCGUGCGUAGGUGGUUUGUUAAGUCCGCUGUGAAAUCUCGAGGCUCAACUUCGAGCUGUCGGUGGAAACUGUCUGGCUAGAGUCCGGAAGAGGAGAAUGGAAUUCCUGGUGUAGCCGGUGAAAUGCGCAGAUAUCAGGAGGAACACCGAUGGCGAAGGCAGGUCUCUGGGCUGUAACUGACGCUGAGGAGCGAAAGCAUGGGGAGCGAACAGG